AAAACGCUGGCGGCACGCUUAACACAUGCAAGUCGAACGGCAGCAUGAAUCAACUUCGGUUGAUUUGAUGGCGAGUGGCGAACGGGUGAGUAACGCGUAGGAAUAUGCCUUAAAGAGGGGGAUAACUCGGGGAAACUCGAGCUAAUACCGCGUAAGCUCUACGGAGUAAAGCAUGGGACCUUCGGGCCAUGCGCUUUAAGAAUAGCCUGCGUCCGAUUAGCUAGUUGGUGGGGUAAAGGCCUACCAAGGCGAUGAUCGGUAGCUGGUCUGAGAGGAUGGACAGCCACACUGGGACUGAGACACGGCCCAGACUCCUACGGGAGGCAGCAGUGGGGAAUAUUGGACAAUGGGGGCAACCCUGAUCCAGCGAUGCCGCGUGUGUGAAGAAGGCCCGAGGGUUGUAAAGCACUUUUAGUGGGGAGGAAAGGGUACAGGUUAAGAGCUAGUAUCUGUGACGUUACCCACCAUAAACAGCACCGGCUAACUCCGUGCCAGCAGCCGCGGUAAUACGGGGGGUGCAAGCGUUAAUCGGAGUUAUUGGGCGUAAAGGGUGCGUAGGUUGUUCGUUAAGUUAUGUGGGAAAUACCUGGGCUUAACCUGGGAAUGUCGGAUAAUACUGAUGAACUUGAGUAUAGUAGAGGGUAGUGGAAUUUCCGGUGUAGCGGUGAAAUGCGUAGAGAUCCGAAGGAACACCACGUGGCGAAGGCGGCUACCUGGACUAAUACUGACCCUGAGGCCCGAAACCGUGGGGAGCAAACCGGAUAAAAUACCCGUGUUAU
rnacentral:rRNA from 1 species